CGGUCACAAGCUUGUUUUGAACAAAAUGUCGAAAUCUGACUAUUACAAACCUAGCUUCGCGCAUCCACUAAAUCCGAUACGUUCCGCUAGUUUUUUUUUUCGAAAUCCUUCGAUAUCGGUAGCUGUUCUCAACCAUCAACGUGACUCUCAGAAAAGUGAGGUUCUCCUCGUUUUCUCGGAUGCCGGGAGUUCCUUGACGUUUCCGGAGUAGCUAGUUCCCACCAUUUCUCUCUCUUCUCACCACCGCUGAUUUUUUUUUUUUGGUAAAAGUGCCACCAUUUAUUAAGAGGCUAUUCAAACCGGAAAAUUGAUUUAUGUAGAGUGUAAUGAAUUUAAAAAUAGAUAAAU
rnacentral:lncRNA from 1 species